GACGAACGCUGGCGGCGUGCUUAACACAUGCAAGUCGUGCGGUAAGGCCCCUUCGGGGGUACACGAGCGGCGAACGGGUGAGUAACACGUGAGCAACCUGCCCUUCACUUUGGGAUAACUGCCGGAAACGGUGGCUAAUACCGGAUAUGACUUCCUCACGCAUGUGGGGUGGUGGAAAGCCUUCGGGUGGUGGGGGAUGGGCUCGCGGUCUAUCAGCUUGUUGGUGGGGUGAUGGCCUACCAAGGCUUCGACGGGUAGCCGGCCUGAGAGGGUGACCGGCCACACUGGGACUGAGAGACGGCCCAGACUGCUACGGGAGGCAGCAGUGGGGAAUAUGGGACAAUGGGGGAAAGCCUGAUCCAGCAACGCCGCGUGAGGGAUGACGGCCUUCGGGUUGUAAACCUCUUUCUCCUGCGACGAAGCGAGAGUGACGGUAGCAGGUAAAGAAGCACCGGCCAACUACGUG
rnacentral:rRNA from 1 species